rnacentral:rRNA from 1 species
UACGUAGGGGGCAAGCGUUAUCCGGAUUUACUGGGUGUAAAGGGAGCGUAGACGGCGAUGCAAGUCUGAAGUGAAAGGCGGGGGCCCAACCCCCGGACUGCUUUGGAAACUGUAUAGCUGGAGUGCAGGAGAGGUAAGUGGAAUUCCUAGUGUAGCGGUGAAAUGCGUAGAUAUUAGGAGGAACACCAGUGGCGAAAGCGCUUUACUGGACCAUUAUUGACGCUGAGGAACGAAAGCCAGGGGAGCAAAUGGG